UUUUACUGCUGAUUUGGGAGAGAAUACUUUUUGGGGUGGUAAAGCUGGUGUGCUGCUUUUGGGCGAUUGCGUUUUGUUAGGCCCCUUUUUGGUAUAUGACAUCUUUACAGACACAGUGAAUAUGGUUUCCUUGUAACUAUGAUGGCCCUGUGAUUUUGUGGAUCAGGGCCUUUUGUCCUUACUUUUUUGGAGCUGCUGGAUAUGACUCGGUUUCAAUAGAUACAACCACCAAUUUCUGUAAUUGGAUAUGACUUUUGUUCAUAUUUUAAUAGGCGAGAAGACGUUUUU
rnacentral:lncRNA from 1 species